AGUGAACGCUGGCGGUAGGCCUAACACAUGCAAGUCGAACGGCAGCACAGUAAGAGCUUGCUCUUACGGGGGGCGAGUGGCGGACGGGUGAGGAAUACAUCGGAAUCUACUUUUUCGGGGGGGAUAACGUAGGGAGACUUACGCUAAUACCGCAUACGACCUACGGGGGAAGGCAGGGGAUCUUCGGACCUGGCGCGGUUGAAUGAGCUGCUGUCGGGUUAGCUGGUUGGGGGGGUAAAGGCCCACUAAGGGGAGGAUCGGUAGCUGGUCUGAGAGGAUGGUCCGCCACCCUGGAACUGGGCCACGCUCCUGACUCCUGCGGUAGGCCGCAGUCUGCAAUGGUGGGCAACAGGCGGAAGCCUGGUCCAGCGGUCCCACGUGGGUGAAGAAGGCCUCCCGGUUGUAAUGCCGUUUUGUUGGGAAAGAACCGCAGCAGGUUGAGACGACGCUGUUCUGACGGUACCCAAAGAAGAAGCACCGGCUAACUUCGUG
rnacentral:rRNA from 1 species